ACCUCUCAGGAAUGCUGGCAUGAGACAAGGAGAAAUGCCAGAACACUAAUUCUCUGGUGCAAAGCUUCUCAUUCUGACACUUUAGCUAAGAUGUGCCUGGGCACUGGAUCCUGGAGAUGCAAAUGUCAGAGAAAGAUACAUGAGCAGUAGGUUCUGGACGAGGAGGUGACAUUCAGGAUGCCCUUUCCAUCACAUGCCAAAGCAGCUGAACAGCUUCAGUUACAGAACAGGGCCUGGAGUCCAGUAGGACUAGAAGCAAACCACAGCACAGCCAGAAGGGGCAGAAUCAGAGAAAUCCCUGGAUAAAGAUGGUCCUGCACGGACAUAAGACUCUGCACUCUUCAGCAAGGGCUUGAUCUUGAAGAACAGCUUCAUCCAGGGCCAGUGUUUGACAUUCAUGAAUGCACGAAUGUUGUACUGGAUGCAGAAGAUGGACUCUCUGAAAGGAAGAAAUAGCAAAGUCUCUACUGUACCCGGAAAAGAGCUGAGACAGUCUGGAAAGAAGAACCCUUCUUCUUGGCACCUUUCUUGCCUGCACCACUGGCCUCAGCUAAAUUAAAAAUAAAUAAAACAGAUUUUAGAUUUUUG